CACGUACUGUGCGAACGUUAUUCGGAAUCACUGGGCUUAAAGGGUGCGUAGGCGGCCAUUUAAGUAGGGUGUGAAAUCCCCCGGCUCAACCGGGGAAUGGCGCUCUAAACUGGAUGGCUGGAGUGAGAUAGGGGUGUGUGGAACUUCCAGUGGAGCGGUGAAAUGUGUUGAUAUUGGAAGGAACGCCGUUGGCGAAAGCGGCACACUGGGUCUCAACUGACGCUGAGGCACGAAAGCUAGGGGAGCGAACGGG
rnacentral:rRNA from 1 species